rnacentral:rRNA from 1 species
UACGGGGGGGGCAAGCGUUGUUCGGAAUUACUGGGCGUAAAGCGCACGCAGGCGGUCUGCUAAGUUUGGAGUGACAGUUGGUGGCUUAACUGCCAAAGUGCUUCGAAAACUGACAGACUUGAGGGCUUCAGAGGGACACGGAAUUCCGGGUGGAGUGGUGAAAUGCGUAGAGAUCCGGAGGAACACCAAAGGCGAAGGCAGUGUCCUGGGGAGUACCUGACGCUCAGGUGCGAAAGCCAGGGGAGCGAACGGG